UAGACAGUGAGGAAGGCUGGAGGCCUA
rnacentral:piRNA from 1 species